UUCAAUGGUGGCUCAGGCAGGGCAGCCUUCGGGCUGGCCGGGUCAUCUCCAAGGUAACCGGUACUGCGAACCUUGUCUGAGCUACUGUAAGU
rnacentral:antisense_RNA from 1 species